ACUUAAAUUGAAGAGUUUGAUCAUGGCUCAGAUUGAACGCUGGCGGCAGGCCUAACACAUGCAAGUCGAGCGGUAGCACAGAGAGCUUGCUCUCGGGUGACGAGCGGCGGACGGGUGAGUAAUGUCUGGGAAACUGCCUGAUGGAGGGGGAUAACUACUGGAAACGGUAGCUAAUACCGCAUAACGUCGCAAGACCAAAGUGGGGGACCUUCGGGCCUCAUGCCAUCAGAUGUGCCCAGAUGGGAUUAGCUAGUAGGUGGGGUAACGGCUCACCUAGGCGACGAUCCCUAGCUGGUCUGAGAGGAUGACCAGCCACACUGGAACUGAGACACGGUCCAGACUCCUACGGGAGGCAGCAGUGGGGAAUAUUGCACAAUGGGCGCAAGCCUGAUGCAGCCAUGCCGCGUGUGUGAAGAAGGCCUUCGGGUUGUAAAGCACUUUCAGCGGGGAGGAAGGCGAUAAGGUUAAUAACCUUGUCGAUUGACGUUACCCGCAGAAGAAGCACCGGCUAACUCCGUGCCAGCAGCCGCGGUAAUACGGAGGGUGCAAGCGUUAAUCGGAAUUACUGGGCGUAAAGCGCACGCAGGCGGUCUGUCAAGUCGGAUGUGAAAUCCCCGGGCUCAACCUGGGAACUGCAUUCGAAACUGGCAGGCUAGAGUCUUGUAGAGGGGGGUAGAAUUCCAGGUGUAGCGGUGAAAUGCGUAGAGAUCUGGAGGAAUACCGGUGGCGAAGGCGGCCCCCUGGACAAAGACUGACGCUCAGGUGCGAAAGCGUGGGGAGCAAACAGGAUUAGAUACCCUGGUAGUCCACGCCGUAAACGAUGUCGAUUUGGAGGUUGUGCCCUUGAGGCGUGGCUUCCGGAGCUAACGCGUUAAAUCGACCGCCUGGGGAGUACGGCCGCAAGGUUAAAACUCAAAUGAAUUGACGGGGGCCCGCACAAGCGGUGGAGCAUGUGGUUUAAUUCGAUGCAACGCGAAGAACCUUACCUGGUCUUGACAUCCACAGAACUUUCCAGAGAUGGAUUGGUGCCUUCGGGAACUGUGAGACAGGUGCUGCAUGGCUGUCGUCAGCUCGUGUUGUGAAAUGUUGGGUUAAGUCCCGCAACGAGCGCAACCCUUAUCCUUUGUUGCCAGCGGUCCGGCCGGGAACUCAAAGGAGACUGCCAGUGAUAAACUGGAGGAAGGUGGGGAUGACGUCAAGUCAUCAUGGCCCUUACGACCAGGGCUACACACGUGCUACAAUGGCAUAUACAAAGAGAAGCGACCUCGCGAGAGCAAGCGGACCUCAUAAAGUAUGUCGUAGUCCGGAUUGGAGUCUGCAACUCGACUCCAUGAAGUCGGAAUCGCUAGUAAUCGUAGAUCAGAAUGCUACGGUGAAUACGUUCCCGGGCCUUGUACACACCGCCCGUCACACCAUGGGAGUGGGUUGCAAAAGAAGUAGGUAGCUUAACCUUCGGGAGGGCGCUUACCACUUUGUGAUUCAUGACUGGGGUGAAGUCGUAACAAGGUAACCGUAGGGGAACCUGCGGUUGGAUCACCUCCUUACCUUAAAGAA
rnacentral:rRNA from 6 species